rnacentral:rRNA from 1 species
CCUACGGGAGGCAGCAGUGGGGGAUAUUGCACAAUGGGGGAAACCCUGAUGCAGCGAUGCCGCGUGAAUGAAGACGGCCUUCGGGUUGUAAAGUUCUGUCGCAGGGGACGAAAAUGACGGUACCCUGCAAGAAAGCUCCGGCUAACUACGUGCCAGCAGCCGCGGUAAUACGUAGGGAGCAAGCGUUGUCCGGAAUUACUGGGUGUAAAGGGAGCGUAGGCGGGAGGAUAAGUUGAAUGUGAAAUCUAUGGGCUCAACCCAUAGCUGCGUUCAAAUCUGUUCUUCUUGAGUGAAGUAGAGGCAGGCGGAAUUCCUAGUGUAGCGGUGAAAUGCGUAGAUAGUAGGAGGAACACCAGUGGCGAAGGCGGCAUGCCGGCUCCACACUGACGCUGAGGCACGAAAGCGUGGGUAUCGAACAGGAUUAGAUACCCCUGUAGUC